rnacentral:rRNA from 1 species
UUCCUACGGGAGGCAGCAGUGGGGAAUAUUGCACAAUGGGCGCAAGCCUGAUGCAGCGACGCCGCGUGAGGGAUGACGGCCUUCGGGUUGUAAACCUCUUUCAGUAGGGAAGAAGCGAAAGUGACGGUACCUGCAGAAGAAGCGCCGGCUAACUACGUGCCAGCAGCCGCGGUAAUACGUAGGGCGCAAGCGUUAUCCGGAAUUAUUGGGCGUAAAGAGCUCGUAGGCGGUUUGUCG